GACGAACGCUGGCGGCGUGCUUAACACAUGCAAGUGGAGCGACGAACCGGGGCUUGCCCCGGGGCAGAGCCGCGAACGGGUGAGUAACACGUGGGUAACCCACCCCGAUGACCGGGACAACCCGAGGAAACUCGGGCUAAUACCGGAUGUGCUCCUUGACCUCGAGGUCAAGGCGUAAAGAUAGCUUCGGCCUUCGCAUCGGGACGGGCCCGCGGCCCAUUAGCUUGUUGGUGGGGUAAAGGCCUACCAAGGCGACGAUGGGUAGCUGGUCUGAGAGGACGAUCAGCCACACUGGGACUGAGACACGGCCAGACUCCUACGGGAGGCAGCAGUGGGGAAUCUUGCGCAAUGCGCGAAAGCGUGACGCAGCAACG
rnacentral:rRNA from 1 species